AUUGAACGCUGGCGGCAUGCCUUACACAUGCAAGUCGAACGGUAACAGGUCUUCGGAUGCUGACGAGUGGCGAACGGGUGAGUAAUACAUCGGAACGUGCCCGAUCGUGGUGGAUAACGAGGCGAAAGCUUUGCUAAUACCUCAUACGAUCUACGGAUGAAAGCGGGGGAUCUUCGGACCUCGCGCGGACGGAGCGGCCGAUGGCAGAUUAGGUAGUGGGUGGGAUAAAAGCUUACCAAGCCGACGAUCUGUAGCUGGUCUGAGAGGAUGUUCAGCCACACUGGAACUGAGACACGGCCCAGCUCCCUAGGGGAGGCAGCAGUGGGGAAUUUUGGACAAUGGGCGAAAGCCUGAUCCAGCAAUGCGGCGUGCAGGAUGAAGGCCUUUGGGUUGUAAACUGCUUUUGUACGGAACGAAAAGCCUCUUUGUAAUAAAGAGGGGUCAUGACGGUACCGUAAGAAUAAGCACCGGCUAACUACGU
rnacentral:rRNA from 1 species